UGGAGCAUUUUCUGUCGCACCCCAUCGCACUACCCUGUUGUCUUCGCGACUGCUGCUGCGCACUCUCCGUUCGUUCCUCUUUUUCUCGUGUUGUCUCCUCCGCUGCUGUUGCCGGCACCCGCGGCUGCUCUGUGCGCCCACCCAUACCCCACCUCUCUCGGCUAAGGUGUACCGACCUUCACACACACACACAUACACACACCGACAGCGACACCCUCCCUUCCCCCUCUUUGUGCAGGUGUGCUCCUUGUUCGCCUUUCUUUUUGAGACCGCAGUGCUUGGAGAGCCAAGCACGUCUACCAAGGGGCACAGGCACGUGCUCACAGAAUCCUCUCUCGGACGCACGCCUCAUCGACGGCUUGUCGGCACACACCUGGCCUGCCGCCGCUACCCUUGCCCUUUACGCUGCCAUUUCAUCCCCUAGACUCUCCCCUCCUCUCCUCUCUUUUCCCCCGUUAGCCGUCGCUGCCGCUGUGGCUGCUAUCUUCGUUGGCUCAUCUCUGUAUUUCACGUACGCCGUGCUAGACACUUGCAGUUCGCCGCGGUGCUUGCCUCUAUCGGCGUGAGGAGCAGGCACGCGAACCUCAGACCCUGCGCCAUCCGUGCUGCUGCCGCUGCCUCCACUUCCCUCCUCUUACUCCUUCCGCCGCCACCACGUCGACGGCGCAGAGACCGAGACUCCACCGCAGAUCUUUGUACACGUGCGCGUCUCGUGGCGUUGAGACUGCGGCCGCUCGCAAGCCGCCCUGGCACUCACGGAAUCUGCCUUGCUGCGGACCACGUGAGUGUACGCACGCGCACCCGGGCGAGGGGGCUGGAGAUGCCGAAGCGAGGCAGAGCAAACUCAACCGACGCGUCAUACGCCGCUGAGCACGGCGUUGUGGAGGUAAGCGACGCGGACAGCCCAGCCACGCAGCCGAUCGGCGUGGAGGAGAUGAUGGAGUCUCAGCGGGAUCCUCUGCUAGAGCAGCAGCUGGACGCACUGGAGGUGGACGAAGACUUCCGUGAAUCCAUCCGAGCCAUGACGCCGAAUACGCGCAGAGAUGUCCUGAAUGACAUCAUCCGCCAUCAGCAACACACGGAGAUCGAAGAGAGCUUGAUGCGAGGUUUCCAUGGAGGCGACUUUGGCAGCGCGGGGCCGCUCUUCACGUUUGGCGCGGGCAUACCGCCUGGCAUGCAUCAGUCGCGCAUGAUGGGAGGCUCUCAGGGGGACACUGACGCUGAAGACUACGCUGAUAUGAUGGGCGAUGCUGAGGAGGACGAGGAGGAGGGCGAACUGCGCGGCUCCGAUAGACAUGCAGCGGCCGAGGAGGACGAGGAGGCUGAGACGGGGUCGACAGUUGAGAGGCCGCCAUUUUUACUGCGUGGCAUGGCAAUGGGCUCCAUCGACAAUACCGGGAUGCCGCAUGUACAGCACCGUGGAGGCCAGUCCCCGCAGCAGGCGGGAGCGCCGCCGACCGUUCUCGAUAUUCUCCGACUUAUUGCCGGGCACAGCACACCGCAGGCUCGCAGUCGCGGCGGCGAUGGCCUUCAUCACCAGGGCCGCGGCUCGGGCCAGCGCACCGCCUUCGAGGAGGGCAUGAUGAACCUCCACAACCUCAUCGGUGUGCUGCAGCAAGCAAAUGUGAUGCAGUCCAUGGGCCUGGACCACGACAUCGACGAUAUGACGUACGAGGAGCUACUGGAGCUAGAGGAGCGCAUCGGAAACGUCAGCAAAGGCGUACCACCGGCGUUGCUCGACAGCUGCAUGGUACCGCUGCGAAGCACAUCGGCCGACGCUGGCACGUGCGCCAUCUGCCAAGAGGAGCUCAGCGGCACCUCCGCCACGGCCACGGCCGCGACCAGCGCCGCAUCCACCGCUACCUCGCCCAGCGGUACGGACAAGGCGUGUGUCAAGCUGCUCAACUGCCCUCAUGCAUUCCACAAGCCAUGCAUCAACCAGUGGCUGACCCAGAACAAAACAUGCCCCAUCUGCAAAAUGGAGGUGCUACCGAAGCCAGCGCCGUCGUCGUCCUAGGCUCCCUCGCCGUGCGCAGGGUGUUUGCUGGUGGCAGGGGGCUGAGGUGGGGCGGUGACCUGCACAGAGAUGAGGGGACGAGUGGAGCGGCGGGCGGGGCGCGUUGAACUCCCUCUUUGGAUUUUAUAACUCUCUCCUCAUCUUCCUGCGCCCGCUGCCACGUCUGAGCAUGUAAGUCAGAGCGGAAAGGAGAAAGAGCGGCAGCGCAUGCACUUGCGUGUGCAGGCUCAAGAUGUGUGCUACGCCAUGCCGACACCGUGGUGUGUCCGUCUGUGGGGCUGAAAAGAUGGGUGGUGCGCCUGUAUGCGUGCUUGUGCGUGUUUGCGUUGCAUGUCACUGCUGUGCUGCCUUUGUUGACCGUUAUUAGAGAAGUUUGCCAGAACUGUUCUCCUCUCACCGCCAGCGUGUCGCCCUCUGUCAACACCGGGCAUCGUCCUUAGUGAGGCAUUGCUCUCUCCUCUCUGUGUGCUACUCGAGGUGCAGAUGAUCUCCUGGUGCCUCUGCGGUGCGGUGACAGCGCGACAGUGGAGCGACUGACCGGUGACGUCUCUCACGUGAUGAGGGUCUGCCUCUCUGUGUAUGUGGCGCUCAAGAGCAGCCUCGCACAAGUGCACACAUGCACACGGAGAGAGAUGCCCUCGCACGCUCCCCCUCCUCUCUCUCUGCCACUCGUCCCACCCAUCUCUCUCUUGUGUGUGUGUGUGUGUCCGUCGUGCUUAAAG
rnacentral:misc_RNA from 1 species